AUUGAACGCUGGCGGCAUGCCUUACACAUGCAAGUCGAACGGCAGCACGGAGCUUGCUCUGGUGGCGAGUGGCGAACGGGCGAGUAAUAUAUCGGAACGUACCCAAGAGUGGGGGAUAACGUAGCGAAAGUUACGCUAAUACCGCAUACGAUCUAAGGAUGAAAGUGGGGGAUCGCAAGACCUCAUGCUCCUGGAGCGGCCGAUAUCUGAUUAGCUAGUUGGUGAGGUAAAGGCUCACCAAGGCAUCGAUCAGUAGCUGGUCUGAGAGGACGACCAGCCACACUGGAACUGAGACACGGUCCAGACUCCUACGGGAGGCAGCAGUGGGGAAUGUUGGACAAUGGGGGCAACCCUGAUCCAGCAAUGCCGCGUGAGUGAAGAAGGCCUUCGGGUUGUAAAGCUCUAUUGUCAGGGAAGAAACGGUGAAGGCUAAUAUCCUUUGCUAAUGACGGUACCUGAAGAAUAGGCACCGGCUAACUACGUGCCAGCCGCCGCGGUAAGAC
rnacentral:rRNA from 1 species